UAGCGAAGUCAGGAAAGAUACAGUCUCAUGAUGAGUGAGGCCUCGCUGACAAGAUGUCGCAAGCUGGGGAAGCAAGGGACUUUCGCAAGACUCAGUGAACAGGCUGGGGAAGCAAGGGACUUUCGCAAGACUCAGUGAACAGGGUGGGGAACACCGGGGAUUACACAAUGAGCAGCAGAUGUUCA